GAUGAGGAUGAGGAUGACGAUGAUUCUGAAGAAGAUUCUAAUAAAACUGAGGACAUUGUCGACUCAUCAGGAGAUAGUUCAGAAGAAGAAAGGGAUGAUAGCUCUGAGGACGAGAGUACUCCAGAGAUGGUUGUAGUUGACAAGAGAAGGAAAUUUGAUUCUGCUUCAAAAUCUCCUAUUCGUGAAAAAAAGGCUAAAGUUGUGACUCCAGUUGAAAACAAUAAAAUAGGU